AGUAAGAACCAGCAGGAGCAUCCAAAUAAGGGUUUGUUUUAAGAUCUCUCUUUUCAUUCGAACACUGCAUGCAGCCAGCGAGGCAUUUUUUCUGUAUCCUAAAAAAUGAUUUGCAUGUAAAGUACAGAGUACAGUUGUACUCGUCUAAGAAUAGUGGUUGCACAUUAGGUGAUCUCUUUCAAAGUUACAGCACUGUCGAAACAGCAUGCAACAUGUGAAGUGGGUUUGAAAAGGCUGCUACUCAGAUUUAUUUUUAAAAACAGUUGGAUUCAUUUCUCCAAAAAAAAAAAGGCUCAAAGUGAAAUGUUCUGCCAUAUUCCUUUCUAGUCUGACAGAUAAUAAAGUGUUUAAUGAAACCAUUUCAUGCUACAUCUCGGUUUAUAGCUUGUAUCAGAUCUGCAGAUAUUCUUUGUAAAGGUAAUCUUUUCCACAAAUAAUCUGCAAUUUUUUAUCAUCAAAAAAGGAAAUAGCAUAUCAAUUUAACAUAGAUGAGCAUAUUUUCAGAUCCUCUCAAACUUUUUGUACAAAUUAAAUGAACUGCUAACUUCCACCUUGAACAGAAAGCAUCUCCUCUGUCCCUGCUUAAAAAAUGCACAGUGGAUUCAUACCAUCCAUGCAUUAGCGCUUCAUUUAGUCCCAAUUCCAUCUGUUAAAUCCUUACACACUUGAUCUUCUCCCUCUAGCGCGGGGUUCUCAUACAGUUCCAACUUUUCAUGGCAGGGAAUGAAAAAGAGAGACCCGGACAGACAAGAUGAAUCGAAACCCAGCCAGUCAUUUCAGCUCCAGUUUGAAUGUGACAGUUGUUCUUUGUAUUUGCGUUGGACGGUCUACAGUGGAAACGAGAGAUGCCCUGCAAAUGUGAGCUAUUCUGCUGCCAGGAUGACGGUUGUUCUACUGUAACUGAGCA